rnacentral:rRNA from 1 species
AUUGAACGCUAGCGGGAUGCCUUACACAUGCAAGUCGAACGGAGUGGCGAACGGGUGAGUAAUGUAUAGGAACCUGCCCAGUAGUGGGGGAUAACUUCGCGAAAGCGUAGCUAAUACCGCAUACUAUCGGAUCGGCCGAUGUCGGAUUAGCUAGUUGGUGGGGUAACGGCUUACCAAGGCGACGAUCCGUAGCUGGUCUGAGAGGACGACCAGCCACACUGGAACUGAGACAAGGCCCAGACUCCUACGGGAGGCAGCAGUGGGGAAUUUUGGACAAUGGGGGAAAGCCUGAUCCAGCCAUGCCGCGUGUGCGAUGAAGGCCUUCGGGUUGUAAAGCACUUUAAGCAGGGAGGCGGUACCUGCAGAAUAAGCACCGGCUAACUACGUGCCAGCAGCCGCGGUAAUAC